UCUCAGGAACUUAUUCCUCUUAUAAUUCCAAAUGACUUAUGGCAAUAAUGAUUACUUUAUCAUCAAUAAGUAUUUAAAAAUGUGUUAAAAAUAGUGUUAAAAUCAAAAUAAAUGAAGGCAAAUCAUGGAAUCGACUGAGAAUCUAAAGUGACUGAAAUAACUUGGAUGGCUCACCCUUAUGGCUUAGCUCAACUGCCGCCAUCUUACCCUGGAUGUGGACCUGCCUGCCACAUUUUUAUUCCUGAGGAGAGAUCCAGCGCCCAGUUGCCAGAGGUGUGACGACUGAGGGACAUGGAACACAACUUGCCUGACCAUUUCCUCAGUCAGGCUGGGCCUCAGGAAGCUAUUGCAUCAGCUGAGAUGGCCUCCUUCUUGUGCAAGAGUGAAGUGGACGACCAACAAACUACCAUCAUCGACCAUCAGACCACCACCCUAGACCACCAGACCACCACCCUCGAC
rnacentral:lncRNA from 1 species